UACGGAGGGUGCAAGCGUUAUCCGGAUUCACUGGGUUUAAAGGGUGCGUAGGUGGGCAGGUAAGUCAGUGGUGAAAUCUCCGGGCUUAACCCGGAACUGCCGUUGAUACUAUUUGUCUUGAAUAUUGUGGAGGUAAGCGGAAUAUGUCAUGUAGCGGUGAAAUGCUUAGAUAUGACAUAGAACACCAAUUGCGAAGGCAGCUUACUACACAAUGAUUGACACUGAGGCACGAAAUGCGUGGGAUCAAACAGG
rnacentral:rRNA from 1 species